ACUGGGUGCAGUGGCACAUGCCUAUAGUCCCAGCUACUUGGGAAGCUGAGGUGGGAGGAUUCCUUGAGCCCAGGAUUUCUGGGGCUGUAGUGUGCUAUGGCAAUCAGGUGCCUGAGCUAACUUUGGGAUCAAUAUGGUGACCUUCAGGUGAGGGAGGUUCCCUAAGGAGGGGUGAACCAGCCCAGCUCAGAAAUGGAGUAAGUAAAAACUCCUGUGCUGAUCAGUAGUGGGAUCGCACCUGCGAAUAGCCCCUGAAAUCCAGCCUGGGCAACAUAGCGAGACCCCAUCUUAU
rnacentral:SRP_RNA from 1 species